rnacentral:rRNA from 1 species
AGCGAACGCUGGCGGCGUGCCUAACACAUGCAAGUCGAACGUGAAAGGGAGCAAUCCCAAGUAAAGUGGCGUACGGGUGAGUAACACGUAGGUAAUCUACCCCAGAAUCUGGAAUAACCGGCCGAAAGGCUGGCUAAUACUGGAUAGAGCGACGGAAUCCGUAAUUGGGUUUUUCGGGAAAGGGAGCCUGUAAAAAGGCCUUCGUUCUGGGAUGAGCCUGCGUCCCAUCAGCUAGUUGGUGAGGUAAAAGCUUACCAAGGCAAUGACGGGUAGCUGGUCUGAGAGGACGAUCAGCCACACGGGAACUGAAACACGGUCCAGACUCCUACGGGAGGCAGCAGUGGGGAAUCUUGCGCAAUGGACGAAAGUCUGACGCAGCAACGCCGCGUGAGUGAAGAAGGCCUUCGGGUUGUAAAGCUCUGUCGAGUGGGACGAAAAUGCUUGGAGUUCACAGCUCCAGGAACUGACGGUACCACUAAAGGAAGCACCGGCUAACUCCGU